UACGUAGGGUCCAAGCGUUAUCCGGAAUCACUGGGCGUAAAGCGUGCGUAGGUGGGAAUUUAAGUGUGAUGUUAAAUCGUGUGGCUCAACCAUAUCGAUGCAUCGCAUACUGGGUUCCUAGAGGACGGCAGAGGCAAGUGGAAUUAGCAGUGUAGCAGUGAAAUGCGUAGAUAUUGCUAGGAACACCAAUGGCGAAGGCAGCUUGCUGGGCCACUCCUGACACUGAGGUACGAAAGCGUGGGGAGCGAACAGG
rnacentral:rRNA from 1 species